AUCCCGUCACAACGGCUUCCUGACGUGACGGCAGAACCCUAAUGGAGCA
rfam:Marivita hallyeonensis strain DSM 29431 genome assembly, contig: Ga0131194_105